rnacentral:rRNA from 1 species
UACGUAGGGGGCAAGCGUUGUCCGGAAUCAUUGGGCGUAAAGCGCGUGUAGGCGGUCCGGUAAGUCCGCUGUGAAAGUCAAAGGCUCAACCUUUGAAAGCCGGUGGAUACUGUGGGGCUAGAGUCCGGAAGAGGCGAGUGGAAUUCCUGGUGUAGCGGUGGAAUGCGCAGAUAUCAGGAGGAACACCAAUAGCGAAGGCAGCUCGCUGGGACGGUACUGACGCUAAGGCGCGAAAGCGUGGGGAGCGAACAGG